rnacentral:lncRNA from 1 species
GGGGGGUUCUAUGCGUGCGAUCGAGAACAGGGCCAAGAGAAGAGCCAAAAACCCUAACAACCAAAAAUCAUCAAAUUGAUAAGGAGAUCAAGGGAAAAAUCGAAUGCAUGGGUCUGGAUACUCUUUAAUCUAAGUGUAUUGAUCAUAAGGAACGUGUCAAGGAGAGCUCAAGCAUAGGAGGAUAACGGGUCAAGAUAAGGCAAGGUGACAAAUACACUUAUUGGAGUACUCAAGGUUAUGAAUGUCGGACUUUCAAAGUGUUGAUAUAAUAAUGAAACGGUUGAAUCUUGAAAGGAUAAUCGGAUUGAAGUAACUUAUGCGGUAAAUCCUCAAUUCAGGCGACUUGGAGAAUCGGAGCGAGCGCGUGUUCAUGUUAUGUCAUACCAAACGCUUCCGCUAGUUUGUCCAAAUGUUUUUGGUCCAAAAUUUGUUGUAAUGGUUUUUAGUAGUAUUUUGUUGAACGACUCGUAGAAUUGUAUCUAGUUUGAUUAUGAUUAAAACAGGGGUAUGCCCGUUUUACGGACGGGUCAUGCCCAAAUUUUGUUAAAAAUUAAUGCAUAUGUUAUUGAUACCAUCGUUUUAAACUGCGAAAAGUUGGACACUUUUAAGAAACUUUUAUUCUUCUAGUAUCCCUUAGUCGUCUCUUAUUAGACGCGAACACGGAUGUAACAAGUUGGUAUCAGAGCCUAGGUUGAGGGAUUCUAGCACGAAUAGUGGUGCUUGAACUCAACCGGUGGCUCGUUCGAAAGAGUGCUCGCUCCAAGGUCGCCAAUGAGGUAAUGUUUAAGUUAAACAAAUUGCAAGUGUGUUUAUUAUGUGUAUGACAAAAGUAAUAGAUAAAUAUGUGGGGAGGUUAAAUGAGAAAUUUCAGGUGUGGUAGAGUCGGAACGGACUAGAAAGAAACGAACGAAAGCGCCCGAAACCAACCCGCAACUU